rnacentral:rRNA from 1 species
UGCAAGUCGAGCGGAUGACGGGAGCUUGCUCCUUGAUUCAGCGGCGGACGGGUGAGUAAUGCCUAGGAAUCUGCCUGGUAGUGGGGGACAACGUUUCGAAAGGAACGCUAAUACCGCAUACGUCCUACGGGAGAAAGCAGGGGACCUUCGGGCCUUGCGCUAUCAGAUGAGCCUAGGUCGGAUUAGCUAGUUGGUGAGGUAAUGGCUCACCAAGGCGACGAUCCGUAACUGGUCUGAGAGGAUGAUCAGUCACACUGGAACUGAGACACGGUCCAGACUCCUACGGGAGGCAGCAGUGGGGAAUAUUGGACAAUGGGCGAAAGCCUGAUCCAGCCAUGCCGCGUGUGUGAAGAAGGUCUUCGGAUUGUAAAG